UAGUUGUUCUUUAAGGUAUUUUCCUAUCUGCUCGAGAAGAUGGCCUCUGUUCCCGUUCUGGUGGUUGAGAAAUGGCGUUUCGAGUGAGGGGAAGAGCGGGAUUAGUAGGAGGGCGGAUGGCAGGCAAGUUUUGUUCUCUUUUAUUUCCCUGGUUAUUAUCUUCUCCCUCUCUCUCUCUCUCUCUCUCUCUCGCCCACAGCCAUCCACCCACCCACCAUCUCGUUCACGUUUCUCAAGGAUGGUUUGAGAGGAAAGAAUGGGAUAGAUGAUUGAAUCCUUCCUUGCCACAGAACAGUCAUCUCAUCUUGUCUGUCGUUACGUACGUCACAAGAAGAAUAAUCCCAUCCUCACCCACAGUAGACCUCUCAUUUUCACCCUCUUUAAUUUGGUAGUAAAUUUGCCCUCCCCCUCUCUCUUUCUCUCUCCGUGUAUAAAUACCAUCUAUAUCUAUCCUCCUCUCUCGGUGAGAAGUAUCAUCGGCUUGAGGCAGUGGCAUGUGAUCUACUCUGUGUCAUGUGGGCUUAUCAAAGGGUUGCUCGCAGAGGUGAUUGGCAUUCUGUCCACCUCCAGCCACAUCCAUCUCUCAUGAACAAGGAGAAGCAUACGGAUGGAGGUGGGCAUCCUGCCAACUGAACUCUGCUAGCUUCUCUUUGUAAAACCCAUGUGACAUAUCUUUUCUUGCAACCGAGCACUUGGAUCCUUCUCAUAGAAGUACACAAAACAUGCACUGGAAGCAUGAAGGAAGGUCUUCCCUUCUUGGAUGCUAUCGUAUGUCAUCGUUGGAUGUUGGAAUUACAUGGGCUGUUUCGAUUUGCCUCCGCGCUCCAGGAAUGAUUACACACGGGAUCUUUUAGCUUUGCUUGGUUUUGCUUGUUUCCUCUCUCAGCCAUUCCUGUUGAUGCUUUACUGGUAUUCCUGUGCUAAUAUUUCAGAAGCGUUCCAAUCUCAGAUCUGAUGUAGGGCGACAGUGGGAACGAGUGAUAGGAAGAAGACUUUGCAGUAGAAGAAGACACAGGAAUAUCUCAUUGUGAACCCUAAUUCCUUUCUAUUUUCUCUCUCAUGAAAAAUAUUUCUUUUUUUUCCCUAUCCAUUUUCUCUCACUGAUUUUUUUGGGGUUCUUUUUUACUAGAAAAAGGGGAACAAAAUCAUUCUUCGAUCUUCUUUCUUGCACCACCUUUUGCCAUCAUAGUGAAUCGAACUGUCUCAGGAAUGCUGAGAUCUUUUCCAGAAAUCUACACAAGGACCAGUUCAUGAUCUAUUCUUGAAGUUUCAGAAAUGAUCAUCACCACUGUUAGGGUUCUAUGAUCUUUUACCCAUGCUAGAGAGAAUCGAAUGCUUGACAAUGAUAAAGAAAAUACAACUUGCCGUGAAAACACACCAUAUUUCUUCCUAUUUGGAAAACAGAAACAGUAAGCUCUUCAAUUUCAAAAUGACAAGUGCAUAUCAUCAUAUCAUAUCAUAUAUAUGCGCAUCACUCAAUUAUUUUGGCUUAUAUGUUUCAUUUUCCUUAGAAACCUCAAAUGUAAAUGCAAUCAAUAUAUUCCAGUCUUUUCUUAUCUUCUUGUUGAACUUGUGAUUCCGAAAACAACAUGCAUUAGAAACUUGUGUUAAGAUUCAAUCUGGGAGAAGGUGCUGUUCUCAUGAGCAUUAAUGGGUCAAGAGGAAGAGGAAGGCUUGAACAGCUGUAGGACGUUUGAUCUUUACCAUUUGGCAGUGGAGGGGCAUUGAGAUCAUCAUUCUCUUGUGCUAGCAUAGUAAUCUCUCUUGAAGUUGUCACCUAAUAAUGAGCUGCUUGAACCGUUCUUGAUCCAUAUUAAGUGGUCAAUGUUGCCAGGAGCCUGGGGAGCUCAGAAGGCAUUCAUUGUUUCAGCCUGCAGCAGCUGCUGAAAGUGAGUUCCAACAUGCUUUUGGUGGUGGAAUAAUUGCUCAUAGUUGUCUCUUUGCACAGAAGAUGCAUCGACCUUCUCUUUCCUACCCUCUUCCCUUAUGAGUUGCAUCCUGUUGGACCACAAAAACUUAUCACAUCAGACAAUACAAUUCUUUUCAGUAUACUCAUCAGAAAAUAAUGCUUUCAGGUUGAUCUGAAGAUGUGGUGUGUCAUCUCAAACUGGUAAUCCCUCAUAUGCUCCCCUUAUUAGACAGCUUGCCAUUUGCAGCAUUCUCACCCAAAAUAUGAUAUGAGCCACUGACAAAUGUAAUGAGUUAAUUGUGUUGGAAUUGUUGCUUUUCGCAAAUGGGUAUAAGAUUCAUGGCCAUCAUA